rnacentral:rRNA from 1 species
GAUGAACGCUGGCGGCGUGCCUAAUACAUGCGAGUCGAGCGAACAGACGAGGAGCUUGCUCCUCUGACGUUAGCGGCGGACGGGUGAGUAACACGUGGAUAACCUACCUAUAAGACUGGGAUAACUUCGGGAAACCGGAGCUAAUACCGGAUAAUAUAUUGAACCGCAUGGUUCAAUAGUGAAAGACGGUUUUGCUGUCACUUAUAGAUGGAUCCGCGCCGCAUUAGCUAGUUGGUAAGGUAACGGCUUACCAAGGCAACGAUGCGUAGCCGACCUGAGAGGGUGAUCGGCCACACUGGAACUGAGACACGGUCCAGACUCCUACGGGAGGCAGCAGUAGGGAAUCUUCCGCAAUGGGCGAAAGCCUGACGGAGCAACGCCGCGUGGGUGAUGAAGGUCUUCGGAUCGUAAAACUCUGUUAUUAGGGAAGAACAAAUGUGUAAGUAACUAUGCACGUCUUGACGGUACCUAAUCAGAAAGCCACGGCUAACUACGUG